rnacentral:rRNA from 1 species
UACGAAGGGGGCUAGCGUUGCUCGGAAUCACUGGGCGUAAAGGGUGCGUAGGCGGGUCUUUAAGUCAGGGGUGAAAUCCUGGAGCUCAACUCCAGAACUGCCUUUGAUACUGAGGAGCUCGAGUCCGGAAGAGGUGAGUGGAACUGCGAGUGUAGAGGUGAAAUUCGUAGAUAUCGAGAAGAACACCGGUGGCGAAGGCGGCCAUCUGGACGGUGACUGACGCUGAGACGCGAAAGCGUGGGGAGCAAACAGG